rnacentral:rRNA from 1 species
GACGAACGCUGGCGGCGUGCCUAAUACAUGCAAGUAGAACGCACAGAUUAUACCGUAGCUUGCUACACCAUAACCUGUGAGUUGCGAACGGGUGAGUAAUGCGUAGGUAACCUUCCUGGGAGCGGGGGAUAACUAUUGGAAACGAUAGAUAAUACCGCAUAAUCUUAAUUAUUGAAUGAUAAUUGAUUGAAAGCUGCAAUUGCAUCACUAACAGCUGGACCUGCGUUGUAUUAGCUAGUAGGUGAGGUAACGGCCCACCUAGGCGACGAUACAUAGCCGGCCCGAGAGGGUGAACGGGCACACUGGGACUUAGACACGGCCCAGGAUCCUAAGGGGGGGAGCAGGAGGGAAUUUUCGGCAAUGGACGAAAGGCUGACCGAGCAACUCCGGGGGAGGGGAGGAAGGUUUCGGAGCGUAAAGCUCUUUUGUAAGGGAAGGACGGGUAGGAGAGUGGAAAGUUCACGCUGUGACGGUAUCUUACCAGAAAGCGACGGCUAACUACGUG